rnacentral:rRNA from 1 species
UACGUAGGCAGCGAGCGUUGUUCGGAGUUACUGGGCGUAAAGGGUGUGUAGGCGGUUUUCUAAGUUUGGUGUGAAAUCUCCCGGCUCAACCGGGAGGGUGCGCCGAAAACUGGGAGACUAGAGUGCGGGAUGGGAGAGUAGAAUUCCUGGUGUAGCGGUGAAAUGCGUAGAUAUCAGGAGGAAUACCGGUGGUGUAAACGGCUCUCUGGACCGCCACUGACGCUGAGACACGAAAGCGUGGGUAGCAAACAGG